GCAUUUCAGUAACGGCAGGAAAAGAAAAUAACUAUGAUUCCCUCAGUAACUGCGAGUGAAGUGGGAAGAGCCCAACGUUGAAAGCUACAUCUUUAACCGGGUGUCGCGUUGUAACGUAUAGAUGCAACAUCGAGACGUGAACCAGAUUUGAAGUCGCUUAGAAUAGCGCACCAUAGAGGGUUUUAGUCCCGUACAUGAAUUUGUGUGUCACAUCAAGUAUGUUGUCUUCUAAGAGUCGGAUUGUUUGGGAAUACAGUCUGAAGUGGGUGGUAAACUCCAUCUAAGGCUAAAUAUAACCUCGAGACCGAUAGCGAACAAGUACCGUGAGGGAAAGUUGAAAAGCACUCUGAAAAGAACGUGAAAAGGGCGUGAAACCGUUAAUGGGGAAGCGUACGGUAGAGUCGAAGUAGAGCAGCGUGGGUGCGCGUAUUUUGUGGCAACACAGAAUGCGUGGCAGGUAGCGUUACUCUACGCGCCGGACUCAUUGUUAAAUGACUGGCGUAGUAAGUGGUUGGUAGUAACAGUGCAUCCCUGAGGAUGUUCUGUGCUAUUAGCAUUUACAAUAUGUUUUAGAGUUGUUCGACAAUGAUGUGUAGAGCGUAAUAUCAAUGUGUAGUGGCUAUCGGUAGAGUGCAAGUUUAGGCAAACACUCUAUUGACAACCAUUUCGUAUUGGUGUUACAAGACAAGUCGCAUACGAUUUUCCGGCGAGACAUGCUACUGUUCGACCCGUCUUGAAACACGGACCAAGGAGGCUAACAUGUGCGCGAGUCAAGGAGUGGAGAAACUCUUAGGCACAACGAAAGUGAAAUGUGAGAUCCCACGGUUAACGCUGGGGGCGCAUCACAGACCAGUUGGAAAUUUGACUACGAUUGAGUUGCAGCGUACAUGCUAGAACCCGAAAGAUGGUGACCUAUUCCUGAGCAGAGCGAAUUCAUUGGAAACAAUGAUGGAGGCUCGUAGCGGUUCUGACGUGCAAAUCGAUCGUCAAACUUGGGUAUAGGGGCGAAAGACUAAUCGAACCAUCUAGUAGCUGGUUCCCUCCGAAAUAUCCCUCAGGAUCGCCGAGACUCGUAUACACAGUUUCAUCGGGUAGAGCGAAUGAUUAGAGGAAUUGGGGAUAUUUAUGUCCUCGACCUAUUCUCAAACUGCAAACCGGUGAGUGAAUGGGAAUGGUUGCUUAAUUGAACCGUGACUGUAUCGUGAAUGUGAGAGUUUCGAGUGGGCCAUUUUUGGUAAGCAGAACUGGCGAUGCGGGAUGAACCGAGAGUUGGGUUAAGGUGCCAAAGUGGGGGCAAAUGGACACCACAAAAGGAGUUGGUAAAUGAAGACAGUAGGACUGUGGCUCUGAAAGUAAGCAUCGGCUAAGGAGUGUGCAACAACUCACCUACCGAAUUUACCGGCCCUGAAAAUGGAUGGCGCUUAGCCCCCCACCGAUACCCAACCGUAGACGCGAGAAAAGUGUCGUCUAUGGGUAGGAGGGUGCUGUGGUUGCUGCAAAGGCUGGUCGUGAGACUUGCUGGAGCGUCCACAGGUACAGAUCUUGGUUUUAGUAGCAGCGAAUAGAAGUGAGAACCUUYUAGGCYGAAGUGGAGAAGGGUUCCUCGUGAACAGCAGUUGGACGAGGGUUAGUYGGUCCUAAGCAGCAGCUCACACGSUGAGUAAAAGGGUACGUUUNGUAAUUGUUGUGCUUGCACUCANUACUUNGUACCAGUSUGMGAAAGGGAAUCAGGUUAAUAUUCCUGAACCUGGCGUCGGAUAGCCAAUACUGUUGUACCAAUUGAAUUUGGGUAACACCAAANUCAGUUGGUGUGAAAGYGUUGGUGAAGCGGUAACGCAAACGAAMUCGGAGACGUUGUUGGUAGUUCCAGGAAGAGUUAUCUUUUCUGUUUAACCGGUUGGACGAGCCUGGAAUAGAGUCGCUCAGAGAUAGGCUCGACAAUUGGGAAGAGCGUCGCAUUUUGGUGGCGUCKGGAGUACUGCCAACGAUCCAUGAAAAUCCGAGGGAGUGAUWGAUUUUCGCGCNNGNCCGUACCGAGAUCCGCAUCAGGUCUCCAAGGUGAANNNNNNNNNNNNNNNNNAAUAAUGUGGNUAAGGGAANUCGGCAANNNNNNNNNNUAACNUCGGGAAAAGGAUNGGCUCUAAGGAUNGGNCNGUUNNNGCNANNUGNUNGNUGGNGCNNCGNNCNUGUANANCGGUGUCUGUCGUAGAAUUUGGUUCACUCCAAGUUUGAAAGCAGCAUCUGUUAAUGCGACGUGGUGCCUUCCUGCGAGUAGUUUGUAUAGUGUGCGUUUGUUGGAUUCGUCCAGUGAAUGUACAUUAUACCUCGUCAACAGCUAAGAUCAAUCAACUUAGAACUGUCACUGACUAGGGGAAUCCGACUGUUUAAUUAAAACAAAGCAUUGCGAUGGCCGGAAACGGUGUUGACGCAAUGUGAAUUCUGCCCAGUGCUCUGAAUGUCAAAGUGUGGAGACACAACCAAGCGCGGGUAAACGGCGGGA
rnacentral:rRNA from 1 species